AUUGAACGCUGGCGGCAGGCCUAACACAUGCAAGUCGAGCGGAUGAAGGGAGCUUGCUCCUGGAUUCAGCGGCGGACGGGUGAGUAAUGCCUAGGAAUCUGCCUGGUAGUGGGGGAUAACGUCCGGAAACGGGCGCUAAUACCGCAUACGUCCUGAGGGAGAAAGUGGGGGAUCUUCGGACCUCACGCUAUCAGAUGAGCCUAGGUCGGAUUAGCUAGUUGGUGGGGUAAAGGCCUACCAAGGCGACGAUCCGUAACUGGUCUGAGAGGAUGAUCAGUCACACUGAAACAGAGACACGGUCCAGACUCAUACGAGAGGCAGGAGUGGAGAAUAGUAGACUAUGGGCGAAAGUCAGCUCCAGCCAUGGCGCGUGUGAAGAAGGUCUUCGGAUUGUAAAGCACUUUAAGUUGGGAGGAAGGGCUGUAAGUUAAUACCUUGCUGUUUUGACGUUACCAACAGAAUAAGCACCGGCUAACUUCGUG
rnacentral:rRNA from 1 species